CGGAAUUAACCAAGACUCUAACUAACUCGAUUACUCCAAACCGGAUAACAUAACUGAGUCAGCUAAAACCUUUAGUUUCCCUCAGAGUGUUUACAAGACUUAAGUAUAAAGCUAUCAAUACUCAACAAUCUCCACCUUAGCUGAAAUACUGCAACUCUGAGACUUCUAAACUCCACCUUAAACACAAGUCAUGAUCUCUUCCCGUGGAUUCAUCUUCUGGAUUUACACCUCUAGCUAGUGCCUCGGCCUAUUCAGGCUUUGAGGACUCUGAGCAAGUCUAAUGCUGACUUGAACUUGCUUACAUGUACAUCCUUCGUCAAUAUUUCAGCCAGGUUCUGGCUUGUAUGAAUCUUAUGGAUAUCUACUUCAUCACUCUCAA
rnacentral:lncRNA from 1 species